rnacentral:rRNA from 1 species
AUAAGAGGUCCCGCCUGCCCGGUGACUAUAUGUUUAACGGCCGCGGUAUUUUGACCGUGCUAAGGUAGCGUAAUCACUUGUUUUUUAAAUGGAGACCUGUAUGAAUGGCACCACGAGGGCUUAACUGUCUCCUUUCUCCUGUCAAUGAAAUUGAUCUCCCCGUGCAGAAGCGGGGAUAAUUACAUAAGACGAAAAGACCCUUUGGAGCUUCAGGCUAUAGACAGCCUAUGUUAAACAACCUACCACACCAGGCAAAACAAUUAAGCCCUGCUCUACAUGCCUUUGGUUGGGGCGACCACGGGGAAAUAAAAAACCCCCACAUGGACCUGGAGGAGGUACCCAUACCCUCCAUACAACCUAGAGAUACAUCUCUAAGUAACAGAACUUCUGACCAAUUACAGGAUCCGGUAUUAACCGAUUAAUGAACCUAGUUACCCUAGGGAUAACAGCGCAAUCCCCUUUUAGAGCCCUUAUCGACAAGGGGGUUUACGACCUCGAUGUUGGAUCAGGACAUCCUAUUGGUGUAGCCGCUAUUAAGGGUUUGUUUGUUCAACAAUU